rfam:Salinicola sp. MIT1003 NODE_5_length_188346_cov_76.0407_ID_9, whole genome shotgun sequence.
UGGCAGGAUGUGCAUUGUAGGCCUACGCCGCAAGCGGCUAGCCAACAAUGCAAUGCGCUUACUCGCCCAACGGGCUCUACGCUGUCCUGCUCUGCGAGGCU